rnacentral:sRNA from 1 species
CUUUGCUCAUCCUGGGAAGAGACAUAAUCGGCUGCUAGAAUGUUACCAAAAGACAUUUACGUUGUGGCCUGUUUGGCUCUUGUGAUCAGCACUCGCUUCCUUGGGGCGAUUGAUUUAGACUUUGAGCCAGCAUUG